AAAGCAAACGUGCGUUUCCAAUUUGCGCGGAGCGUUUCAAUUCAUUCCAAUGAGACCGGAGCUUAACGCUCACGUGGUGCGUCAUGGGACCGACAGCAUGGCGGAAAAGGAGAUCUUCUUAACUUCAUGCAAGUAUCAAGAGGUGCAAUUUGGGCUUCACCAAUGAAGACGUGACACAGAUAGAAGGAAUAAACGGGGACGGGGGACUCCAUAAGCCUUGAGUCUUCUUCUGCUCCAAAAGCAAGCGUCUGGUGCUGGAGGAGAUGGUCGCCAGGGGGAAACAGGAUCCUGACUACGCUGAGCAACACUGAAAGGGCCUGGAGCAGAGACCGGGCGACCAGGGCCUUUCACAUUAGUUUAAACUGACACCUCUGCUCACCUCAAUGGAGGCGGCGCUGAAACUCACACCGCUGCCAGCCGGAUUCGCAAACCUGCUUGUGCGUGACUCUGGUUUGGAAGACCACUGCUGUGGUUUCCUACGGGUGAUCCAACAUGGGAUUUUAAGCACAAUAAACAAUCACAUUAAUGUUUUUUUCAGGGUUUAUUUUUGUGCCAGAUUGAAAGCUAAUAUUUUUAAUAUAAAAUGGGUUAACCAUGUGUUUGGACUGGAAGGCCAAAUAUGUAAAAAAUGUGUAAGGAUUAGCAGUUCGAUACUGUUGCGAAAAGCUCUAAAGACUUUAAAUAAAUAGAGUUG